rnacentral:lncRNA from 1 species
GCCAACGAGAGCAUACAGGUCGCAGUGGUGGGUAGUAUAUGGGGCUUUGGUGGCAAAACGGAUGGCACUGUGAUAGACUACAUCCAGUUUGCUGAGUAGAGUGUUGGAGGCUAUUUUGUAAAUGACAUCACCGAAGUCAACGAUCUGUGGAUCUUCAGUUUUACAAGGGUAUGUUUGGCAGCAUGAGUGAAGGAGGCUUUGUUGCGAAAUAGGAAGCCGAUUCUAGAUUUAAUUUGGGAUUGGAGAUGCUUAAUGUGAGUCUGGAAGGAGAGUUUACAGUCUAACCAGACACCUAGGUAUUUGUAGUUGUCCACAUAUUCUAAGUCAGAACCGUCCAGAGUAGUGAUGCUAGUCGGGCGGGUGGGUGCGGGCAACAAUCGUUUGAAGAGCAUGCUAAAUGCUGUACAUAGAGUCAAUCAAUUGUACCAUUGUGUAGUAACGUGUACAUUUCAUGAGUCUGAAAGUACCAUAUUGUAGCCCCUCCCACCUCAAUUUCCGUGACUUUGACUUUGACUUUGAGUUUGACUUCCGGCCUGUUGAGAUGAAUCGCUUACUCAGGGAGGGAGGAGAUGUUUCUCAAUAUGGAUCAAAUUGUUAAAAUGAAUCAAGGCGUUGGAGCACAGGCUAGCUCCUUGCAGAAUCUUGACAAAAGAGAAUGUGGACUAAGAUCUGGCAGUUGCAGUGCCCAGACAAGGUGAGAGCAAACUGCUACAGAGAUAAAAAGGAAUCUCCAAAUGCAAUGUUGAACGAGCACCAUGGAUGAAGGAGGGGGAGGAAAACAGACAGCUUCUUUCUACCAAACAUACAAUGUUUGCUUCAUGAACAAUAGUUACAUCUGAAAUAAAUACAGAAUUCUUUUAGUUUAUUCAGUUUUUUAUGCUGGAUGUGAGUAAUUUAGCAGGUUUAUAUUAUAAUGUAUUGUUUUGAAAUGUUCAUUAAAUAUCUAUUCAGUCAAAACUCACUUAUUAUUUUACGUUUGCUAAAAUAAUGUAUGUUUUGUACUGUUACUUUUUACGUUCUGAAACAGUCUCGUUAGUUUUGAGCUAGACUGUGAUGGGGGAAAUGUCUACUGUAAAUGUCUACUACCCUUUUUUAAAUGUUGAUGAAUGAAAUUACCACCGUUUCUAAUAGUUUGUCCACUUCCUCAUCAGACAGUAGCAACAAUGUGGAAUACAUUGGAGGAGGAAGGGAGAAUUAAUGAGAAACCAGAACCUGGCAAUGUCAGGGAAUAAGUAGGAUAAAUGUACAUGCUAUCAAUGGCAAAAGAAACUGCAGAGGUAGCUUUAAGAUAACAUUAGAUAUGUGCAUGUUAUGUACUGCACAGACGGCUAGCCAGCUAUUUUCAAAACAUUGGAUUACCAACUUGAGUGGUGACGUCUCAGUUUGCACCACAUUUUGACAUGGAGGUAGUAUGAUAUACACUGAACAAAAAUAUAAAUGCAACAUGUAAAGUGUUGGUCUCAUGUUUCAUGAGCUGAAAUAAAAGAUCCCAGACAUUUUCCAUACGCACAAGAAGCUUAUUUAUCUCAAAUGUUGUUCAGCCUGGUCCUUCCUCCGCUGCGUCCGUAACAGUAUAUCAAUUCCUUUUUAGAAAACAUCUUAAUUCAGCCUUUGUGGUUUUGUAAGUAUAGGGACUAUUAUUGC